AUGUACCAGGCGUACAUGCCGGAUCUGGGCGCGCCACUCGCACCCACCUGAUGACCGCUCGCGACGUUUGUCUACC
rnacentral:sRNA from 1 species